AUGUGAAGCGCAUAUAGCUACUCAUCAAUAUGUCACUUUUGGAGAUAAAAAUCUAUUAUAUGCUGCUGUGCCGGACGCGCACCAUAAAAACACACAAAAAUAACUAAUUUAACAUUGUCCUUGCUCGACAUAGAAACAGGUGAACAGUUUUGGAACACUGAGCCACUGGCUGCCUGCCUGUACCAGGUGGCUGUGUUAGGAGUGGGUUGCUUUUGACAAUAAGCCACCGCACUACAGCCAUAUCGUUUUGAACGUAGAAGAAGACCAAGAGACGGGAGUAGGAAAGGAGGAGUCGACCGGGAUGGGCGAGAGGAAUGUCCAGUUGGCCAGAAAAGCAUGGUUUGUCAUCUGAUUUAUUGGAGCCUGGUGGAGAUGGACGCAACCAUACUACAAGGCAGGACAUUUCUCUGCAUCCAGGUUGAUGCUUGCUACUAGCAGGAACAUGCAGCACUCUGUCAGUGAGUCUGCUGGGCUAUGGAACUCUAGAGCAGCACAUCAAAAAAUCCUGUUGUAAGCUAUCAGCAGACAGUUCCCUGAGGAAGGAUGCAACUAUCAAGGCUUUCAAAGGCCACAUUUUGGGGAGGACCAAAUAUUACCGUUGUAGCUCAUUAUAUUGAAGGGCUUUGACUGGGAAAUCACCUCCCCAGUCAGUCUUUUGUGCGUAUUGGACAUUCAUAUUGCAAUGUACAGUCGUGGUCAAAAGUUUUGAGAAUGACACAAGUAUUGGUCUUCACAA